CCAGAGGCUUUAUUCAGCCACACAUAUUUUCAAAAAGAAGAAGU
rfam:Triticum aestivum genome assembly, contig: Triticum_aestivum_CS42_TGACv1_scaffold_307125_4AS